rnacentral:rRNA from 1 species
UGUUGAUGGCGACCGGCGCACGGGUGAGUAACACGUAUGCAACCUGCCCCUGUCAGGGGGACAACCCGCCGAAAGGCGGGCUAAACCCGCGUACAUGCCACCGGGGCAUCCCGGAGGCAGGAAAGGCUUCGGCCGGACAGGGAUGGGCAUGCGGCGCAUUAGGCAGUAGGCGGGGUAACGGCCCACCUAACCGACGAUGCGUAGGGGUUCUGAGAGGAAGGUCCCCCACACUGGUACUGAGACACGGACCAGACUCCUACGGGAGGCAGCAG